rnacentral:sRNA from 1 species
UGCGGUUUGAUACAAACUUAUCUGAAGUAGUGAUUGUAAUAUUUCUCAUCAUUUGUUCCUCUUGAGAUCUCCUUUAGGUUUUUUUCUCUCUGAUAAUUUUCUUCAGGCCAUUUUGCCCAAGGGCUCAUUCAAAAGGUAACAAUAUUAUGACGACGAAAAUCACUGGUUUAGUAAAAAUGGUUUUAACCCUGAAAAAGGGCUUUGGUUUUCAUUACGCCUAAAGAUGGCAGCAAAGAUGUGUUUGUGCAUUUUUCAGCCAUUCAAAGUAAAUGAAUUCCGCACUCUGAAUGAAAAUCAGGAAGUGGAGUUUUCAGUAGAGCAGGGACCAAAAGGUCCAUCAGCGGUCAACGUUGUGGCGCUUUAAGGCAACUAAUAUUACUAAUAAAAUUCACUUCCGGUGUCC